GUGGGAAGGCUCAGACAGCUAGGAAGUUGGCUUAGAAGCAGCCAUCUUUUAAAGAAAGCGUAAUAGCUCACUAGUCGAGUCGGCCUGCGCGGAAGAUUUAACGGGGCUAAACUGAUAACCGAAGCUGCGGACGCAUACUUGUAUGCGUGGUAGAGGAGCGUUCUGUAAGCCGUUGAAGGUGCAUUGUAAAGUGUGCUGGAGGUAUCAGAAGUGCGAAUGCUGACGUGAGUAACGAUAAAGCGGGUGAAAAACCCGCUCGCCGGAAGAUCAAGGUUUCCUGUCCAACGCUAAUCGGGACAGGGUUAGUCGGUACCUAAGGCGAGGCCGAAAGGCGUAGUCGAUGGAAAACAGGUUAAUAUUCCUGUACCGCUAUAUACUGCGAUGGGGGGACGGAGAAGGCUAGGUGAUCAGGGCGAUGGUUGUCCCUGUACAAGCUUGUAGGGAGAUCUCUUAGGUAAAUCCGGGAGAUCAUUAUCCUGAGGAGUGAUGUCGAGCUCAAUUGCGAGCGAAGUCAUUAAUGCCAUGCUUCCAAGAAAAGCCUCUAAGCUUCAGGUAUAUAGAGACCGUACUCCAAACCGACACAGGUGAUCAGGUAGAGAAUACCAAGGCGCUUGAGAGAACUAUGGUGAAGGAACUAGGCAAAAUGGUGCCGUAACUUCGGGAGAAGGCACGCCGAUUUUGGUGAUGGGAUUUACUCCCUAAGCUGAGGUUGGCCGCAGAGACCAGGCCCCUGCGACUGUUUAUCUAAAACACAGCACUCUGCAAACUCGUAAGAGGAAGUAUAGGGUGUGACGCCUGCCCGGUGCCGGAAGGUUAAUUGAUGGGGUUAGCUUCGGCGAAGCUCUUGAUCGAAGCCCCGGUAAACGGCGGCCGUAACUAUAACGGUCCUAAGGUAGCGAAAUUCCUUGUCGGGUAAGUUCCGACCUGCACGAAUGGCGUAACGACGGCCACACUGUCUCCACCCGAGACUCAGUGAAAUUGAAAUCGCUGUUAAGAUGCAGUGUAUCCGCGGCUAGACGGAAAGACCCCGUGAACCUUUACUAUAGCUUCACAGUGAACUUUGAACCUAUUUGUGUAGGAUAGGUGGGAGGCUUUGAAACUGGGACGCUAGUCUCAGUGGAGCCAAACUUGAAAUAC
rnacentral:rRNA from 2 species